rnacentral:rRNA from 1 species
GCAAACUAAAGAUGGCGACCGGCGCACGGGUGAGUAACACGUAUCCAACCUGCCGAUAACUCGGGGAUAGCCUUUCGAAAGAAAGAUUAAUAUCCGAUAGCAUAUUAGAACCGCAUGGUUUUACUAUUAAAGAACUUCGGUUAUCGAUGGGGAUGCGUUCCAUUAGUUUGUUGGCGGGGUAACGGCCCACCAAGACUACGAUGGAUAGGGGUUCUGAGAGGAAGGUCCCCCACAUUGGAACUGAGACACGGUCCAAACUCCUACGGGAGGCAGCAGUGAGGAAUAUUGGUCAAUGGACGAGAGUCUGAACCAGCCAAGUAGCGUGAAGGAUGACUGCCCUAUGGGUUGUAAACUUCUUUUAUAUGGGAAUAAAGUAUUCCACGUGUGGGAUUUUGUAUGUACCAUAUGAAUAAGGAUCGGCUAACUCCGUGCCAGCAGCCGCGGUAAUACGGAGGAUCCGAGCGUUAUCCGGAUUUAUUGGGUUUAAAGGGAGCGUAGGUGGAUUGUUAAGUCAGUUGUGAAAGUUUGCGGCUCAACCGUAAAAUUGCAGUUGAUACUGUCAGUCUUGAGUACAGUAGAGGUGGGCGGAAUUCGUGGUGUAGCGGUGAAAUGCUUAGAUAUCACGAAGAACUCCGAUUGCGAAGGCAGCUCACUGGACUGCAACUGACACUGAUGCU